GAUGAAGAACGCAGCGAAAUGCGAUACGUAAUGUGAAUUGCAAAUUCAGUGAAUCAUCGAGUCUUUGAACACACAUUGCGCCCCCUGGUAUUCCGGGGGGCAUGCCUGUCCGAGCGUCAUUGCUGCCCUCAAGCACGGCUUGUGUGUUGGGCCCCGUCCUCCGAUCCCGGGGGACGGGCCCGAAAGGCAGCGGCGGCACCGCGUCCGGUCCUCGAGCGUAUGGGGCUUUGUCACCCGCUCUGUAGGCCCGGCCGGCGCUUGCCGAUCAACCCAAAUUUUUAUCCAGGUUGACCUCGGAUCAGGUAGGGAUACCCGCUGAACUUAAGCAUAUCAAUAAGCGGAGGA
rnacentral:misc_RNA from 1 species